rnacentral:rRNA from 1 species
CCUACGGGAGGCAGCAGUCGAGAAUCAUUCACAAUGGGGGAAACCCUGAUGGUGCGACGCCGCGUGGGGGAAUGAAGGUCUUCGGAUUGUAAACCCCUGUUAUGUGGGAGCAAAUUAAAAAGAUAGUACCACAAGAGGAAGAGACGGCUAACUCUGUGCCAGCAGCCGCGGUAAUACAGAGGUCUCAAGCGUUGUUCGGGAUCACUGGGCGUAGAGGGUGCGUAGGCUGUUUCGUAAGUCGUGUGUGAAAGGCGCGGGCUCAACCCGCGGACGGCACAUGAUACUGCGAGACUAGAGUAAUGGAGGGGGAACCGGAAUUCUCGGUGUAGCAGUGAAAUGCGUAGAUAUCGAGAGGAACACUCGUUGCGAAGGCGGGUUACUGGACAUUAACUGACGCUGAGGCACGAAGGCCAGGGGAGCGAAAGGGAUUAGAUACCCGUGUAGUC